AAUUUCUAGGGGAGCUAAUGGCUGAGAGGGGAAAUUAUUUCCUGACCCUUAUAACUUGAACUGGAUAAUACCAGCGGAGGGAAGGAAUUUUUUAU
rnacentral:ncRNA from 1 species